GCUGCCGUACCCAUAUUUGCACAUUCGCAACAAGGAGUUCCCAUGGGGACCCGAUGGCCUGUUUGAGGUGAAGAAGCAUCACUAGGGCGACGGAUGGCCCGGUUGACAUAUCUUUCCGAGUUCCAUCACAUUCUUAUGAUUUGUCUGAGAAA